AGAGUUUGAUCAUGGCUCAGGAUGAACGCUAGCGGGAGGCCUAACACAUGCAAGCCGAGCGGUAUUGUUUCUUCGGAAUGAGAGAGCGGCGUACGGGUGCGGAACACGUGUGCAACCUGCCUUUAUCUGGGGGAUAGCCUUUCGAAAGGAAGAUUAAUACUCCAUAAUAUAUUGAACGGCAUCGUUUAAUAUUGAAAGCUCCGGCGGAUGGAGAUGGGCACGCGCAAGAUUAGCUAGUUGGUGAGGUAACGGCUCACCAAGGCAAUGAUCUUUAGGGGCCUGAGAGGGUGAUCCCCCACACUGGUACUGAGACACGGACCAGACUCCUACGGGAGGCAGCAGUGAGGAAUAUUGGUCAAUGGGUGCAAGCCUGAACCAGCCAUCCCGCGUGAAGGACGACUGCCCUAUGGGUUGUAAACUUCUUUUGUAUAGGGAUAAACCUUUCCACGUGUGGAAAGCUGAAGGUACUAUACGAAUAAGCACCGGCUAACUCCGUG
rnacentral:rRNA from 1 species